ACUGUUAAUGAGCAGCACCACAAUCACAACGUGGCCUCCACAGAACCAGGCCAGGACAGCAGACAGGUGGAGCCAGAGGACGGUAACGUGAAUCAGAAGUCUGUGAGAUUCGGCAGUUUUGAACAGCAUGGAUCAUCUCUGAGUGAACAAAAUGAGAAGACUCCAGACAAUCCUAUUCCGCCUCCAUGUCCAUGCAUAGAGAAAAGGGCACUGCCCUCCAGCACAAUUUCACAUUUUAAGCCUGCAAAGGCCUUGAAGUUUGACAUCCCAAAAGAAAAUCUACAAAUCAGCGAUGAAAUGGAAGAUCCGAUAAUGAGUGGGUGUGGCCAUGAGAAUAGUGGAAGACCGACACAGAGUCCGUGGAACGACAGAGAGAGGAAAGAAUGGCGAUGUGGUCAGCCCUGGGACCGCAGGGAGUGGGUCAGGGCAGAUUCGCGAUUGCCGCGGCUUGGUGCCUGAGGUGGAUGAUCGAGUGGAAAGGGUUGUGGGUGAGGUGAUUGCGGCAGAUGUAAAAAUGGUCUAUGUCUGCCCUGCGAAGCAUGAGAUUGACCGUGUAAACGAAGAUCCAGUGAAAGUGAAAUGCAAUGAAUGUGACAUCCACUACAAAAAAACAAAAA